rnacentral:misc_RNA from 1 species
CCGAGUUUACAACUCCCAAACCCCUGUGAACAUACCUUAAUGUUGCCUCGGCGGAUCAGCCCGCGCCCGGUAAAACGGGACGGCCCGCCAGAGGAUCCAAACUCUUGCUGUUAUUGUAACUUCUGAGUAAAACAAACAAAUAAAUCA